rnacentral:lncRNA from 1 species
AAAGUGAAAAGAUGAGAACAAGACAAAUAUCUGUUGGCGCUAUCCUUUUCAUCUGCAGUAUCAUCAGCUAAACCAACUCAUCUUGAUCCGCAGGAGCCCUGGAACUACCCUGCAGCUCAACAGAGGACACUGGUCAUGUGAAAAACAUUCAUGAGAUCUGUAUGAAGACCAAGAAAGUACUUUGAACCAUCUUCAGGUCUGAACCUU